UUGAUCAUGGCUCAGGACGAACGCUGGCGGCGUGCCUAAUACAUGCAAGUCGAACGCUUCUUUCCUCCCGAGUGCUUGCACUCAAUUGGAAAGAGGAGUGGCGGACGGGUGAGUAACACGUGGGUAACCUACCCAUCAGAGGGGGAUAACACUUGGAAACAGGUGCUAAUACCGCAUAACAGUUUAUGCCGCAUGGCAUAAGAGUGAAAGGCGCUUUCGGGUGUCGCUGAUGGAUGGACCCGCGGUGCAUUAGCUAGUUGGUGAGGUAACGGCUCACCAAGGCCACGAUGCAUAGCCGACCUGAGAGGGUGAUCGGCCACACUGGGACUGAGACACGGCCCAGACUCCUACGGGAGGCAGCAGUAGGGAAUCUUCGGCAAUGGACGAAAGUCCGACCGAGCAACGCCGCGUGAGUGAAGAAGGUUUUCGGAUCGUAAAACUCUGUUGUUAGAGAAGAACAAGGACGUUAGUAACUGAACGUCCCCUGACGGUAUCUAACCAGAAAGCCACGGCUAACUACGUGCCAGCAGCCGCGGUAAUACGUAGGUGGCAAGCGUUGUCCGGAUUUAUUGGGCGUAAAGCGAGCGCAGGCGGUUUCUUAAGUCUGAUGUGAAAGCCCCCGGCUCAACCGGGGAGGGUCAUUGGAAACUGGGAGACUUGAGUGCAGAAGAGGAGAGUGGAAUUCCAUGUGUAGCGGUGAAAUGCGUAGAUAUAUGGAGGAACACCAGUGGCGAAGGCGGCUCUCUGGUCUGUAACUGACGCUGAGGCUCGAAAGCGUGG
rnacentral:rRNA from 1 species